CGGGGAGUGGCGCAGCCUGGUAGCGCACCUGUUUUGGGUACAGGGGGUCGCAGGUUCAAAUCCUGUCUCCCCGACCA
rnacentral:tRNA from 15 species